rnacentral:lncRNA from 1 species
GACAAGAGAGGGCUCUCUAGCUAUAGCUAAACUGCGACGAACCAGAACCUAAUUAAGAUCGACAGAUCGAUUGAUAUCUAGAUGGAGAACAAGAACAGCCUGUCACAGCCUCCUCCAGGUGACGAUCGGUCCAUCUUAAUUAAAGUGCCGAUCAAUCUUCAUGUCGAACACUAGUGGUUCUACAGUGAAUUGUAACUGAUCCCAGCUUUAAUUUUUCUUUCCCACUUGAAUUGCUAUAUAUAUAUAUAGGCUACCCGAGGGUGGACUCGGAUCAAGCUGCAGGUGGCAAGAAGAAAUGCUGCUGCUGCGGAUCACGCCGCCGCAGGCCGACCAAACGCGGGGAGACGAGUUUCAUCGAAGGAUGGUAUGCCUAUCCUGCCAUAUAUAAUCCGCUCUUGAAAUCGCAUUUGGAAAUCUAAUUAAUUGGCGUACUCAACGUGGUGUCCUUCUUUUAAUUGUGUUCUUCUUUCAGCAUUGCUGCGCUCUGUUGCUGCUGGCUCUGCGAGCUGUGUUGCGAUUAAAGGGGCCGGGGGCGCCUGAGCGCUGUUACAGAUAAAUUAUUCAGUUCAAGCACAAGUAUAUGCAUGGAGGCUAGCUAGCUUAGCUGCAGCUUGACGUGAGAUCAUGACGGAGAUCUUAAUUCUGUCUUGAAUGUUACAUCUUUUUUUCUUUCUUUUUGGCUGGAAGUCUUUAGACGAUGUUAAACCGACGUGGACCAAGACGGAGAUCUUAAUAUCUGUCUUAAAUUAAUGUCUGUAUUACAUUGCGAUUCAGUGUUUUUCAGCAUGCACUUGUAUUUUCAAUCUUCUUCUUCAUUGAAAUAAGUAUAUUACAAGAGAAAUUUCUAUACUAGCUCUAGAAGUUGAUCUACAUGCAGCUAGCCUAGACGGCUCAUCUAUAAACUCUAUAAAGUUGAAGUCCACUAAGUGCAGUUAAUUUAGCAAGCUGCACAUGCAGUUUAUCCACGUCAGCAUUCAUCUCUCAAACAGCCACGUCACUCUUUUUUCUACGGCACGUUUUUGCUCACACGCUCCCGUUCUCGCUACGUUUUUUCUUUCCGCUCGCACGCUCCCGUUCUCGCUACCCAGCCCACCGGUUCCUGGUCCAGUCUCUCAGCC